AGACUGCUGUUUCUCUGAGUGGCUUCUGGGGACUUGAGACUGUAAGUAGGU
rnacentral:miRNA from 1 species